GCUUGUGAAAAAGCUACUGAGCUGCUCUACAAGUUCUCAAGGUGUAAAGUUGGAAUAAUUGUUGUGCAGUCACAGGAGUUUAGGGAUAUGAUGGAGUCAAUUUGCACAUCUAUGGAGGCAUAUGCCUUGCACAUCCAUCUACUUUGUACAUCUAAUUAAAGUUAUUUUUGAAUUAUCUGUAUAUAUAUAUAUAGAUUUAUUUAUUUGAAAAUUUUUUAAUAUUAAUAGACAAUAACUAAAUAAUUAUUACUUCAUUUUUUUAGUGUUAGGCUCUAACUGUAAGUGUAACUACAUAUCUAUCUACAUUCUCCAUCUAUUACAAUUUAUUCCUUCAUUUAUCGAUAUAUUUGAAUUGCUUA